rnacentral:rRNA from 1 species
AUGAAUUGGAUACUUCAAGAGAAGAGGAGAGAAUUGUCAGAUAAGGAGAGGCAUGGUGUUUACUUCGCUUUGUUGGUAAUCGAGCUCAGAGAUGGGUUUGUUCAACCAGACGACAAGCUGCUAGUCUCAAACCUGUUGGACAUAAGUGUACGAUAUAUUGAAAGAAUUUGGGAAGAAGCCAAAAAGCAAAUUGCCGAUGGCAAAGAAGUAGAUAUCUCAAGCAAGAAGCGAGGAAGAUCUGGCCAAAAGAGAAAGGAGCUGGAUCUAGAGAGGACCUCAACAAUCCCACUAAAUAAAAGAAGGACAAUUCGAUCUCUGGCACGGUCUCUAGGUGUGGCCCGAUCGACCCUACAUAAGAGGUUCCAGUUGAAUGAUCUCAACCGCAUCACAAGCACCGUGAAGCCUCACCUCAAGCUAGAGAACAAGCUUGCGAGAUUGAAAUUUUGUAUGUCCAUGGUCGAUGACAAUUCAAUCUCAAAUUCUCGAGCUAUGUUUAAACCAAUGACGAAUAUGGUUCACAUCAAUGAAAAGUGA